UCGGGAAUAUUGCGCAAUGGAGGAAACUCUGACGCAGUGACGCCGCGUAUAGGAAGAAGUUUUUCGGAAUGUAAACUAUUGUCGUUAGGGAAGAGAAAGGACAGUACCUAAGGAGGAAGCUCCGGCUAACUACGUGCCAGCAGCCGCGGUAAUACGUAGGGAGCGAGCGUUAUCCGGAAUUAUUGGGUGUAAAGGGUGCGUAGACGGGAAAACAAGUUAGUUGUGAAAUCCCUCGGCUUAACUGAGGAACUGCAACUAAAACUAUUUUUCUUGAGUGCAGGAGAGGUAAGUGGAAUUCCUAGUGUAGCGGGUGAAAAUGCGUAGAUUAUUAGGAGGAACACCAGUGGCGAAGGCGACUUACUGGACUGUAACUGACGUUGAGGCACGAAAGUGUGGGGAGCAAACAGGAUUAGAUACC
rnacentral:rRNA from 1 species